UACGGGGGGGGCAAGCGUUGUUCGGAAUUACUGGGCGUAAAGGGCUCGUAGGCGGCCAACUAAGUCGGAUGUGAAAUCCCCAGGCUUAACCUGGGAACUGCAUCCGAUACUGGAUGGCUUGAAUCCGGGAGAGGGAUGCAGAAUUCCAGGUGUAGCGGCGAAAUGCGUAGAUAUCUGGAGGAAUACCGGUGGCGAAGGCGGCAUCCUGGACCGGCAUUGACGCUGAUGAGCGAAAGCUAGGGGAGCAAACGGG
rnacentral:rRNA from 1 species